AGGGAUUGCCCUAGUAACGGCGAGUGAAGCGGCAACAGCUCAAAUUUGAAAUCUGGCUUCGGCCCGAGUUGUAAUUUGCAGAGGAAGCUUUAGGCGCGGCACCUUCUGAGUCCCCUGGAACGGGGCGCCAUAGAGGGUGAGAGCCCCGUAUAGUUGGAUGCCUAGCCUGUGUAAAGCUCCUUCGACGAGUCGAGUAGUUUGGGAAUGCUGCUCAAAAUGGGAGGUAAAUUUCUUCUAAAGCUAAAUACCGGCCAGAGACCGAUAGCGCACAAGUAGAGUGAUCGAAAGAUGAAAAGCACUUUGAAAAGAGGGUUAAAUAGCACGUGAAAUUGUUGAAAGGGAAGCGCUUGUGACCAGACUUGCGCCGGGCGGAUCAUCCGGUGUUCUCACCGGUGCACUCCGCCCGGCUCAGGCCAGCAUCGGUUCUCGCGGGGGGAUAAAGGCCCUGGGAACGUAGCUCCUCCGGGAGUGUUAUAGCCCAGGGCGUAAUGCCCUCGCGGGGACCGAGGACCGCGCAUCUGCAAGGAUGCUGGCGUAAUGGUCAUCAGCGACCCGUCUUGAAACACGGACCAAGGAGUCAAGGUUUUGCGCGAGUGUUUGGGUGUAAAACCCGCACGCGUAAUGAAAGUGAACGUAGGUGAGAGCUUCGGCGCAUCAUCGACCGAUCCUGAUGUUUUCGGAUGGAUUUGAGUAGGAGCGUUAAGCCUUGGACCCGAAAGAUGGUGAACUAUGCUUGGAUAGGGUGAAGCCAGAGGAAACUCUGGUGGAGGCUCGCAGCGGUUCUGACGUGCAAAUCGAUCGUCAAAUCUGAGCAUGGGGGCGAAAGACUAAUCGAACCAUCU
rnacentral:rRNA from 1 species